rnacentral:lncRNA from 1 species
AUAAUUAUGAAUUAUUUUCUUAUUAAUAUACAUUUUUUGUGCUUCUUUAGUGUUAAGUUUUUAAAAUGCCUGUGAAACUUAGCAUAGUUAUUUAAUUUCAAUGAUGUAUGAUUUGUAAGAGCUGACUAUACUUUAUUUUUCUAUCUUUCAUGUUAAUUAAUGAAUUUUUUUAACAUUAGAAUGUGUAUUUUUACAGGUAUUCCUUAAAAGUGUCAAUGUUUGCCAUCUUCAAUUGUGCAUGUCCUACAUUUAUCCGCUGCCAUGUCAACUUUUUUCUGCAUUUAUAUCCAUACAAAAAGUCUUUCUCAAUUGCCAUCAACAACAGUUUUCUUUGUCCAAUCAGCAUAUUUGUCUCCACCAAAUUGGCAGUAUCAAUUAAAGACACAGCUUCUAUGUAUUUGGGGUAUCUUCGCUAAGCUUCCUUACGCUGGCUCAUGUUUUUACUUUGUCAGAUUGUUUGUCGGACGAAGUCAUAAAUGUGAUGUCUUUAUUGUCGCACAUAUUUAUAUUUUAUAGACAAUUAUAUUGAAAAAUAUGAAUUCUUUUUAUCUUUAUCUACUGUUUCGAAAACAGAUGCAAACAAAUCAAUGUUAGCAUUCCUUUCUGAACAACAACUGUAAAAUAAAUAAGGAACAAGCUGUAAAAAAUUUAAGUUAUUAUCAAGUAUUGACAAUAAUCAAUAAUGUGUAAAUGAUUUUUGAAGUUUUGUAAAAACAGAUGUAAAUGAUGUAACUUAUUAAUGAUAUCUGUUCCUUAUUAUUUCUUCAAAAUAGCACAUUUUUCUUUUUUUCUUUUUGCCCAACUCCUGCACAGAAGGGUUUCUGGCAAAAGAAAGCUUGGCUCUUGCUUUAUUUAGCAUCUUUUCAACCAAAAAUCUCCUUUCAUCAUUCCAUUCGUGGCAAAUAUUACAAGGAAAAGCCUUAGGGAAAAUUCUAUGUCAUAAUUAUUUGAUAGCACAAUAAAUUUUUUUACUCUGAAAAAGAUUUUAUAUGAAUUUAGUUAAAUAUACUCACCAUGAAAUUACAUUUAUAUUAUAUAGAAUAUGUUUGCUUUCACAACAUGUUCUCAUUGCAAUUAACUAGGUGAUUAAAAAACAUCCAUAAGAUGUACUCACCUACCUCAUAAUUUACCUGUUUAUAUACAGUAACUUCAGUUUUAAGACAGUCUUCUUGAGAUUUCAAAAUAACCAGUUGUAUUAUAUAGCCUGGUAAAAGGGUUUCCCUGCUUAAAUUGACCUUUACCUUUCAAUGGCAACGGCAUAUAAAAAGAAGUAAAAAGUAAAAUAACAAAAAUACUGAACUCUGAAUGAAAAAUCCAAGGUUUGCUGCGUUAUUUUUACAUAAAUCGACAUUAGUAUUCUUCUUUAACAAUAAGCCUUAUAAAAACAAACUAUUUAUUGUAAGAGGAACAAAUUUUCCACCAUUGUUUUCAUAUAAAUCGACAUUAGUUUUCUUCUCUAACAAGAAGACUUAUAAAAACAAGCUGUAUAUUUUAAACAUGAAAAAUUUCCUGCCAUUAUUUUCAACUGUAUCCACAUUAGUAUCCUUCUCAAACAAUAAUCCUUAUAAAAAUCUUUAUCUACUGUUUUUAAAACAGGAGCAAACAAAUCAAUAUUAGCAUUCCUCUCUGAACAAAGUAAUAAUGUAUAGAUGGUUAUUGUCAAAAUAGAUGGUAUCCUAUGUCUCCAGGGACUUGAGGGGUAUAACAGUAGGGCUGAAAUCUAUGUUUGGUAAAAGUAAAAGAUUUAUCAACAUUAGUAUCCUUCUCCAACUGUAAUCUUUAAAAAAUAAAAAAAUUAAAUAUAUUUAACACAGGAUUAUGCUGCUGAACAUUUUAAUUUCCUGUAAUUUAGAAAUAUUAUAGACAAAAUCAAUCAUGCUAUCAAAUUGUAGAGUCUUAAUAAGUUUUCAAAUGAAAACUAAAUGUACCCUUUUAUUUAAUUUUAUGUGAGCACAUGAUAACGUCAGCAGUGUUAUUAUAAGUAAACUAUGUUUGUAUUAUGACAACAAACCAAAGUUUUUAUAAAAAAUUUCUUCAUCAACCUAGAUUACCUAGAUAUUUCUGCUCCAUUAUCAGUAAAUCAACUGAAACUAUAUUGCCAUGUAACAAAUAACUAUCUGUUAAUGCAAGGGUCACCACACUGCAUUAAGGAAAUUGAUGACAUGCAAAUAAAAAUCCUGAUUAAGAUUAACAUACCCUGCAGUGCAUGAACAGUUUGAAAGCUCUAUCUGUCCUCCUUUAAUAUCUGUCUCAACACUGUACGAGAUCUCGUUCUUGCAUUGACCUCUGUGAAAUUCCGCGGAGAUGUUUACUGUCUGCUCAACAUUUUUCAAUAUUUAAACAUUGUGAAUAUAUCCCUCGCUAAAAUACUUGAACCCAGUUUAUUUGCACUUCAAAGAAAUUUCACAAUUUAGAAACCCUAACUGGAAUUUGUUUGGUAAUCAGACAAACUUGAUACAAGAUAAGGCUUUGUUGCUAGCCAUCUUUUUCACUUUGUUUGUCUGAGUCACCAUGAUAAUAGCUAAUUAGCAUAUAUGGGUGAUAGGUAAAUUUUAGUCUCAUUUUAUAUGUUUAAUGAAUAUUUGUCAAACAUCUUUAAAUAACAUUGUCAAUUCUGUUGUUCAUUUAAAGAAUUACACCAGUUUUGAAUUUGAACAUGUCAUAAGCUCCAUAUAAUGUACUUAUAAUUUACCAAACAAUUGGUUUAUAAUCCAGGAAUGAAAAUGGAAGAUUUAUUUAGAUAUGUUCACUAAGACUUUUAAGAGUUCAAGUUUUUUGAUUGAAUUGUGAAAAUGACCUGUUUCUUGAUUGUGCUUUCAAUGCUUUAUGAAAUGUAAAAUCUUUAACCAAAGAUUCAUUAUUAUUACAUAGAUUUAUUUCUGCUGAAUGUCAUAAUGUUCUAUAAAAAAAGAUGUACAACAUAUAUAGUUUUAAAAUAUAAACAAGAUUUAUAUAAUCUCAACUUGAUCUAUACUGUAAAUUCAGAAAUUAUUGUGUGCAUUUAUUAUUGUGAUUUUGUCAUUUUAGACUAAAAUGGGAUUUAAAUUUUGGGGACCUUGAGAAUAAUCCUGUUUUAUUCAUAUAAAAAAUUUAAAUUAUUGCAAUUAUAACUCUGUCACAUUUUUUGCAAUAAUAAAAACAUCACAGUAAUUUCUGAAUUUACAGUAAUCAACAUUCUCCCAACAUUGCAGUCUUGAUAAAUGUCCAAGAUGUUAAGAUUUACUUGUAAAGCAAUGACGAUUUCUUUCUUUAGCAUUCAAUUAUUCUGAAGAUGCAUGCAAUGCACUCAGAAAAGUAAAAGCAUGUUAAUCUUUGACCAAAGGGUCCUUAUUAUUACACUGAUUUACUUCAGCUGAAUCUCAUAUUGUUCUGUAAAAAAAGAUGUUCAAUAUAAAUUAUAAUUAUAAAAUAAAAAUCCAACUUAAAGAAACUUGUAAGCAACAAAUAAUGAACUGUUUUCAAUCAUGAUGAAUUUGAUUUGUAUAUGUUGGAAUCAAAGUUCUCAGUUUUGCUAUACCACAUUAAUAAAAUAAUUUUUGUUAUGACAUAGAAGGACCUUCUAUCUCAAUUAUUUUAUCCUGGCAUUAGUGGUUUCUUAAACUUUCAUUGUUCAGUUGGCAAGUCGUAUCAAUUCUCUAGAAGGUACAAUUUUUUUGUGAUUUGAGAAAGAUCGAAGCCUAACUUGUCUCCAAGUUCUGAGUCUUAUGUUUCCUCUGUAAUUUGUUGCAACUCAUCUUUAUGAAUUUCCCCAUUUAAAAAUAAAGCCAUAUACUUAUUAAUUGUUACAUGAUUGGAAUUUUAUUGCCUACGUUUAAUUCUGUAACUUGAAUUCAAUAUUCAUUAGAAACACCUUUUUUAGCCAAUCAUACAAUCAGAUUUUCUGGAAAUUGUCACCAAUUGAGGUGGGUAAAAUAUUAGUAAACAAUCAAAACUCAUUUUUAUAGAAAAUUUGAUUAAAAAAUGUAUAAAAGAAUUCAGUGAUAUAGUAUAUUGUCAUGUUAUGCAAGAUAAGUUAUACAAUUAUUGGGUAAAUUAUUACUAUGUUCGUGUUAACAUCCUGGAUUAAACAAUAACAAGAUUUUGUCCGUUUUUCAGCUAACAUUUCUCAAUCCUUAAAUUGUAGCUGAUAUGAAUAGCAUUUUAAGAAUGUAGUUCUACAGUGAUUAUUAGCUAAUUUAAACUAUUUUGUGCAAUACUUUAAGACUGUAUUUAUUUAUGUCUUUCAAUGUUAUGAAUAUAUAUAUAUUGUUCUAAUAAAAUUGCAUUUUGAUUGGA